rnacentral:sRNA from 1 species
UUCUAAAAUAAUAAAUUUUUUAAUACACCAACUUUAUUUUCAGUUUUGAAAAAUUAUCUUUCUGCUCUUUUGAAAGCCCCUUCCUCCAAAGAAACCUUUUUGCAAGGUUUGGUUGAUAGUUGUCAAUUAUUUCCAGAGAAGAUGAAAAUGUGAUAAGUUAAAGCAGCACAACUAGAGACUAAGACAAAUUUUGAUCAGAAAAGCUCAGUUAGGCUUGCAUCAGAGGCGAGUUUAAUUAAUCUAGCCACCCUGUUUAAUUAAUCUUAAACUACAUUUUACUGUUACAAGAAAAACUUGGACUUUUUUAAUUAUUUAACAUUACUGUAAUUGAAAUUAUUUUGACUUAUAUUUUAAGUACAAAGAAACGAUAUGUAUAG